AUUGAACGCUGGCGGCAUGCCUUACACAUGCAAGUCGAACGGCAGCACGGGUGCUUGCACCUGGUGGCGAGUGGCGAACGGGUGAGUAAUACAUCGGAACGUACCUUAUCGUGGGGGAUAACGCAGCGAAAGCUGUGCUAAUACCGCAUACGCCCUGAGGGGGAAAGCGGGGGAUCGCAAGACCUCGCGCGAUUAGAGCGGCCGAUGCCUGAUUAGCUUGUUGGUGGAGUAAAAGCCCACCAAGGCGACGAUCAGUAGCUGGUCUGAGAGGACGAUCAGCCACACUGGGACUGAGACACGGCCCAGACUCCUACGGGAGGCAGCAGUGGGGAAUUUUGGACAAUGGGGGCAACCCUGAUCCAGCAAUGCCGCGUGAGUGAAGAAGGCCUUCGGGUUGUAAAGCUCUUUUGUCAGGGAAGAAACACCGGCUCUAACACAGUCUGGGAAUGACGGUACCUGAAGAAUAAGCACCGGCUAACUACGUGCCAGCAGCCGCCGCGG
rnacentral:rRNA from 1 species